UACGGGGGGGGGCAAGCGUUGUUCGGAAUUACUGGGCGUAAAGGGCUCGUAGGCGGCCAACUAAGUCGGACGUGAAAUCCCCAGGCUCAACUUGGGAACUGCGUCCGAUACUGGAUGGCUUGAAUCCGGGAGAGGGAUGCAGAAUUCCAGGUGUAGCGGUGAAAUGCGUAGAUAUCUGGAGGAAUACCGGUGGCGAAGGCGGCAUCCUGGACCGGCAUUGACGCUGAGGAGCGAAAGCCAGGGGAGCAAACGGG
rnacentral:rRNA from 1 species